GAGUAAUGCAUGGGAACGUGCCUUUAGGCGGGGGAUAACCACGGGAAACUGUGGCUAAUACCGCAUGUGGUGGCAACACCAAAGAUGGCCUCUAUUUAUAAGCUAUCGCCUAAAGAUCGGCCCAUGUCCCAUUAGAUUGAUGGUGAGGUAAUGGCUCACCAUGUCGACGAUGGGUAGCUGGUCUGAGAGGAUGAUCAGCCUCACUGGGACUGAGACACGGCCCAGACUCC
rnacentral:rRNA from 1 species